UAAUGAGAGUUUGAUCCUGGCUCAGGACGAACGCUGGCGGCGUGCCUAACACAUGCAAGUCGAGCGAAGUAUUUAAAGAAG
rnacentral:rRNA from 1 species